rnacentral:lncRNA from 1 species
AAAAAAAAAAAAAGAUAAUUGACAAUAGUAAAUAUAAAAAUAUCUAGUAGGAUUGAUUGAAUUUUAUUUAAAGGAUAAAGUUAAUUUUUUAUCUAUUUGUAGUUUUAAACAAACUUGAAUUGUUCUUUCUGUUAGUGUGACAAAAUUGGACUUAAAUGGCAUCUUUGAAAAAAUCCACUGGAAUAUUACAUCUUGCUUUUUCUUUAUUCUGAGAAAUAUCUUCUUGAUGUAAUUGGUUUUGGAUUACCCUUUAUUUUAAAUAUUCUAAGCUUGAAGAGAUUUAGGGAUUAGUGUAUUUUUACAUUUUUAGUUUAAUAUUUAUAAAGCACUUUUUUAUUCAAAGUACUCUAGGAAUAAUGAAUUAUUGCACUCAAUUUUCAGGAUGAUGCAGUGAAGUAGAGGUGCUCUGUAAAUAUUUGCUGGGUAAAUGAAUGAGACGAUAAAUUAAAGCUAGCACAAAAUACUUAUAGUAGCAAUUAAAAUCAAUUUCCUGCUAGUGCCAUGGAAAUAGAUAUUGGUAAGAGGUACUUGUAGCCCUGAAAAGGUGAUAUAAAGUUGUGCCCUGUAGAUCCCUUCAGUAAUCCAUGGCCUGGUGCAGUGCUCGGGAGUGCAGCAAAUGCCUGUGGAAGAAGAGGCCAGGCUUGUGUGUACGGGAGGAGGAGCGGAAUGGGACCGUUUUCAUUUCAGUCCCAAGCCCUGACGUGCAGUGAAGCAAGUGAUUUUAAGUCUCAAGGUGUGGUGGUUUCCCUUUACCUUAAGCAGAAAUAAUGUUUGAAGUUCACAAAGUCCCAGGUCUCCUUAAAGAUUAAAAACUAAAAACCAAAAGCGAACACUGCUGAGAGGGACAGCCUGUGACCUUAGCGAAGCUCACAGGGGUUGUAAAGAAGGGAGACUAGUUGGCGGCUCCUCCAGCAGAGCUGAGAGGUACUGUUCUGACUUUAGCCACUGCUCCCCCACCCCAGCCCUUCACCUGCCUCACCGUUAACCUUCACAUCACAGCCGGAACGUCCUUUCCUCAGAGGCUUCCAGACCCUCCAAGCCUGGUGUGGAUGCCUCUGGAGUACUUUCUUCCCACCUUGCAUUUUUUCCUGUCGCUGCAUUGCCACCUACCACGACUUUGCCAUUUACUCGUCUAAAUCCCUCACCAGACUCGGGGGAAAGGUGGCAGACAGAGACCUCCAUGUCUCACUUGUUCACAACUGCAUCUUCUACAUUUAAUGCCUACAUCGAGUGCUUAAAUGCAGUAGAAGGAUGGAGGGAAGGAAAUAUCCUUUUACUGAUAGAAAUCAGCAUCAGUCUGUAAAAGUGAACCUCUAGUUGAUCCGCCUCCUGUGAAAGAAUUUUUUUUCCCUGAGGUAAUGUGGUAGAGUUUGAAGAAGUCUGCAAAUAUGACCUGCUUAUUUCUGGAGAGAAAUGAAGAGGAGAAGGGUCCAGUAAUAAGAGAGGCCUUGAAGUUAUGGAUUCCUUUUGUUAUGUUAAUGCAACAGAGAAUGCUUAACACCCAGAGGGAAAAUCUUAGAAACUUCCCAACUUCCUUUCCAGGUUUGUGUUUUAAAAUAUUUGUUUUCAGGGUUUUUAGAGGAUAUGUCACAUAAUGUAUUAGAUUAUACAUUAUAGAUUAGUAAGGGUCCUGCUUCUGUUUAAUUCAGUCCUCACUUUGAACAGGUAAGAAAACUCAGGCCAAGGAGUUUGUUGAUGGAGCCUAUUAGCUACUGAAUUUAAACUAACCUGUGAGCAGCAGAGUGAAAGCAAAAUGCUAGAGGCAGUUGUCCCAGGGGGCUAUGGGAGUCACCCUGAUUGCUGCCCCUUCAGUGGAUCCUAAAUGCAUUGGUUCCAGCCCAGCAGAUUCUUUAUUCCCUGUGUUGAUGAUUGGUUCCAAAACAAUCUACUCGACCACAAGGUAGUGAAACACCAAUUCAUUCAUUUGCUCAUUUAGCAAACAGUUUUUCUGAGUGCCUCCUCUGUGGCAAACACCAGCUGGGUGCUAGGAUACAAUGGUAAGACAGUCCCUGCUCUCCAGGGGAUGGCAGUCUUCAUUCAAGUGGUUAAAAAAAAAAAAAAUGUUCUUUUUGACUGUAGCCUGAUCAGCUCUUUCUGGGGUGACACACCUUAGUGAGAAUAGCUUGUCUUUUCUUACAUGGCUUCGGAUCAUAAAAAAAGUGAGAAACUGGUGUUUGUAUCUGAGCCUCAAGAAUAAGAGUUAUUAGCCACCAAUUGUUGCCUAGAAAAUGGAGCAGUAAGAAUCAAAUCCUGAACAAGGGAUUGGAAACAAAGGAAUCUGAGCUUUCUCCAGAUAAGCCAUUACUUACAAACCAAGAAGCCCAUCUCUAACCCAAGAAUGCUCUUCUAACUCCAUAGACUAUUUCCCGUGACACUAGGGAUUGAUUCCCACCCUGCUGCCUCCACAGACUCCACCUUGGCGGGAUCUCAAACCAAGUGCCUGUGGGAAGACUGGGCUCCUUCCAGCCACCUCAGUUACGUCAGGGGAACAGAGCUUCAAGCAGACACUCCCUGUGAUCUGAUGUCUCAUUGCCUCUUCCUGCUGCCCCAGCACAUGACAGAGGAAACUUGUCCUGUGAAAUGCGUGCUAUGAUCACGAACACGUUUUGGGCCUUUGCAGCAUCUUCCUGGUGUGCUGUAGCCCCAAGGGACCCAUAGGGGUCCUGGGAAGACCUGUUAUAUUAGGUCAGAUCUUUGGUUGCAAGAAAAAGAUUGAUUUCGGUUUUCCUUAGUGUUGUGUUAUUUUUUAUGAUACACAGAACCUAAAGGAUAGCAGGAACCCACAGCACCCCAGAAGUGUUUGUGCAGUGAGCCUCACAGAAAUGAGAACUGGAGUCACUGAGAAGAGUAGGAGACCUAGAAAUAGGUAACCUCCUCUCCCUUCUGCGCCUGACUUUCCGCCCUUCGCUCCGGUGCCCUGCCAUGGACACACUCUAGCCAGCCCCAAGUUUCUGCUCCUCUUUGUGUGUUUUCUGGCAUCUUCU